UACGAAGGGGGCUAGCGUUGCUCGGAAUUACUGGGCGUAAAGGGCGCGUAGGCGGACAGUUUAGUCAGAGGUGAAAGCCCAGGGCUCAACCUUGGAAUUGCCUUUGAUACUGGCUGUCUUGAGUUCGGGAGAGGUGGGUGGAAUGCCGAGUGUAGAGGUGAAAUUCGUAGAUAUUCGGCGGAACACCAGUGGCGAAGGCGACUCACUGGCCCGGUACUGACGCUGAGGCGCGAAAGCGUGGGGAGCAAACAGG
rnacentral:rRNA from 1 species